AUCUAGCUCAGGACGAACGCUGGCGGCGUGCCUAACACAUGCAAGUCGAACGGAACUUCUUUAAAGGAUUUCUUCGGAAUGAAUUUGAUUAAGUUUAGUGGCGGACGGGUGAGUAACGCGUGAGUAACCUGCCUCUAAGAGGGGAAUAACAUUCUGAAAAGAAUGCUAAUACCGCAUAAUAUAUAUUUAUCGCAUGGUAGAUAUAUCAAAGAUUUAUCGCUUAGAGAUGGACUCGCGUCCGAUUAGUUAG
rnacentral:rRNA from 1 species